UACGAAGGGGGCGAGCGUUGUUCGGAAUGACUGGGCGUAAAGGGCGCGUAGGCGGUGCGCCAAGUCAGAUGUGAAAGCCCCGGGCUCAACCUGGGAACCGCAUUUGAGACUGGCGCACUCGAGUUCGGGAGAGGAUGGUGGAAUUCCCAGUGUAGAGGUGAAAUUCGUAGAGAUUGGGAAGAACACCGAGGGCGAAGGCAGCCAUCUGGACCGACACUGACGCUGAGGCGCGACAGCGUGGGGAGCAAACAGG
rnacentral:rRNA from 1 species